UGUCCGUGUUCCUUUUUCAACAACUUCU
rnacentral:piRNA from 1 species